GAUAACAAGUGGUGACAGUGAAAGCCGCAAUGUUGAUGGAAAAAUGCCAUAACCCAUGUAUUUACAUCCCUAAUGAUAUCUUGCGAAGAAGUAUUACAACUUCAGAGUUGCCAUCGACUGGGAAUCGGCUUCAUUGACCUUAUGUGGGAUGAAGCAUUUGAGAGAUUAUCAUCAGGGUCGUAAGGAGAAUACUUCGUCGAGGAAUUUAUUCCUUUGACCUUUGUCGCAUCUUUUUCCUUCGAAACCAGGAAGAAUUCUUACGGUUAUUGUAUCGAACAAAUGAUGCUCCCACACUACCAUGCGGGGUCACUGAGGAAAAGGUUUCCCUCCUGUCGAUCCCAUUCGGCAAUUCAAAAUCCUGGAGCAACCCCAUCUCGUGGUAG